rnacentral:rRNA from 1 species
GAUGAACGCUGGCGGCGUGCCUAAUACAUGCAAGUCGAGCGAACAGACGAGGAGCUUUCUCCUCUGACGUUAGCGGCGGACGGGUGAGUAACACGUGGAUAACCUACCUAUAAGACUGGGAUAACUUCGGGAAACCGGAGCUAAUACCGGAUAAUAUAUUGAACCGCAUGGUUCAAUAGUUAAAGACGGUUUUGCUGUCACUUAUAGAUGGAUCCGCGCCGCAUUAGCUAGUUGGUAAGGUAACGGCUUUCCAAGGCAACGAUUCGUAGCCGACCUUAGAGGGUGAACCGGCCAGCUGGAACUGGAGCAAGGUCCAGGAAACCUCGGAAGGCAGCAGGUGGGAAUCUUCCGCCAUGGGAGGAAGCCUGAAGGAGCAACGCCGGGGGGGUGAUUAAAGUCUUCGGAUCGUAAAACUCUGUUAUUAGGGAAGAACAAAUGUGUAAGUAACUAUGCACGUCUUGACGGUACCUAAUCAGAAAGCCACGGCUAGCUACGUG